rnacentral:rRNA from 1 species
CCUACGGGUGGCUGCAGUGGGGAAUAUUGGGCAAUGGGCGCAAGCCUGACCCAGCAACGCCGCGUGAAGGAAGAAGGCUUUCGGGUUGUAAACUUCUUUUCUGAGGGACGAAGAAAGUGACGGUACCUCAGGAAUAAGCCACGGCUAACUACGUGCCAGCAGCAGCGGUACUACGUAGGUGGCAAGAGUUAUUCGGAUUUGUUGGGUGUAAAGGGGGGGUAGGCGGGAAAGCAAGUCAGGUGUGAAAACCCCGGGCUCAACCCUGAGCCUGCAUUUGAAACUGUUUUUCUUGAGUGCUGGAGAGGCAAUCGGAAUUCCGUGUGUAGCGGUGAAAUGCGUAGAUAUACGGAGGAACACCAGUGGCGAAGGCGGAUUGCUGGACAGUAACUGACGCUGAGGCGCGAAAGCGUGGGGAGCAAACAGGAUUAGAUACCCGAGUAGUC